rnacentral:misc_RNA from 1 species
AUAUUUCAUCCAAUUUCUCUCCCUCUACCCCUCACCCCACUAAUAAAACAUCAAUAUAUCCAAAACAAAAACAAUAAUAAAUACGAAAAAAUAAAAAACGCCAAAAAAACUAAACAACACACAAAAAAAAUCGUAAACGCGAAAUAACAAAAUCAAUUCCAAAUCAUUCUCCUUAACAUCAAAUACUUAAUAAAUCUAACUCCAAACUUCUAAA